rnacentral:rRNA from 1 species
UGGGGAAUAUUGCACAAUGGGCGCAAGCCUGAUGCAGCCAUGCCGCGUGUAUGAAGAAGGCCUUCGGGUUGUAAAGUACUUUCAGCGGGGAGGAAGGUGUUGUGGUUAAUAACCACAGCAAUUGACGUUACCCGCAGAAGAAGCACCGGCUAACUCCGUGCCAGCAGCCGCGGUAAUACGGAGGGUGCAAGCGUUAAUCGGAAUUACUGGGCGUAAAGCGCACGCAGGCGGUCUGUCAAGUCGGAUGUGAAAUCCCCGGGCUCAACCUGGGAACUGCAUCCGAAACUGGCAGGCUUGAGUCUUGUAGAGGGGGGUAGAAUUCCAGGUGUAGCGGUGAAAUGCGUAGAGAUCUGGAGGAAUACCGGUGGCGAAGGCGGCCCCCUGGACAAAGACUGACGCUCAGGUGCGAAAGUGUGGGGAGCAAACA